rnacentral:rRNA from 1 species
CGUAGGUGACCUGCGGAAGGAUCAUUCAUAAUAAGUGUUUUAUGGCACUUUUUAAAUCCAUAUCCACCUUGUGUGCAAUGUCAGUCGGUCUUCUUUAUGGAGAUCGGCCAAACAUCAACCUAAUUUUUUAACUCUUUGUCUGAAAAAUAUUAUGAAUAAAAUAAUUCAAAAUACAACUUUCAACAACGGAUCUCUUGGCUCUCGCAUCGAUGAAGAACGCAGCGAAAUGCGAUACGUAAUGUGAAUUGCAGAAUUCAGUGAAUCAUCGAAUCUUUGAACGCAUAUUGCGCUCUUUGGUAUUCCGAAGAGCAUGCUUGUUUGAGUAUCAGCAAACACCUCAAAACUUUUUUUUAUUUUUAAAAAACAGUUUUGGACUUGAGCAAUCCCAACACCAAUCUUUUUUAGAUCGGUGGCGGGUUGCUUGAAAUGCAGGUGCAGCUGGACAUUCUCCUGAGCUAAAAGCAUAUUUAUUUAGUCCCGUCAAACGGAUUAUUACUUUUGCUGCAGCUAAUAUAAAGGGAGUUUGACCGUUUUGGCUGACUGAUGCANGAUUUCACAAGGGUCGGCAACGAUUCUUGUAAAACUCGAUCUCAAAUCAAGUAAGACUACCCGCUGAACUUAAGCAUAUCAAUAAGCGGAGAAAAGAAACUAACAAGGAUUCCUCUAGUAACGGCGAGUGAAGCGGGAUGAGCUCAAAUUUAAAAUCUGGCUGGUUUACUAGUCCGAAUUGUAGUUUAUAGAAGCGUUUUCGUGGCAGCCUGGGUAUAAAUUCCUUUGGAAU